GGGGAUGUAGCUCAAAUGGUAGAGCGCUCGCAUUGCAUGCGAGAGGCAAGGGGUUCGAUCCCCCGUCUCCA
rnacentral:tRNA from 1 species